rnacentral:rRNA from 1 species
UACAGAGGUGCCGAGCGUUAGGCGGAAUCACUGGGCUUAAAGCGUGUGUAGGCGGACUUCUAAGUACCUUGUGAAAUCCCACGGCUCACCCGUGGAACUGCUGGGUAUACUGGUCGUCUUGAGCCACCUAGGGGCCAGCGGAACAAAUGGCGGAGCGGUGAAAUGCGUAGAUAUCAGGAGGAACACCGGUGGCGAAGGCGGCUAUCUGGACAGAGUCUGACGCUGAGGCGCGAAAGCUAGGGGAGCAAACAGG